rnacentral:rRNA from 1 species
CCUACGGGAGGCAGCAGUGAGGAAUAUUGGUCAAUGGACGAGAGUCUGAACCAGCCAAGUAGCGUGAAGGAUGACUGCCCUAUGGGUUGUAAACUUCUUUUAUCUGGGAAUAAAAUGCUCCACGUGUGGGAUUCUGUAUGUACCAUAUGAAUAAGCAUCGGCUAACUCCGUGCCAGCAGCCGCGGUAAUACGGAGGAUCCGAGCGUUAUCCGGAUUUCUUGGGUUUAAAGGGUGCGUAGGUGGAUUGUUAAGUCAGUUGUGAAAGUUUGGGGCUCAACCGUAGAAUUGCAGUUGAAACUGGGAGUCUUGAGUGCAGUAGAGGUAGGCGGAAUUCGUGGUGUAGCGGUGAAAUGCUUAGAUAUCACGAAGAACUCCGAUUGCGAAGGCAGUUCACUGGACUGCAACUGACACUGAGGCACGAAAGUGUGGGUAUCAAACAGGAUUAGAUACCCGGGUAGUC